UUUUGUAUAAUGGGUCAGCGACUUAUAUUCUGUAGCAAGGUUAACCGAAUAGGGGAGCCGAAGGGAAACCGAGUCUUAACUGGGCGUUAAGUUGCAGGGUAUAGACCCGAAACCCGGUGAUCUAGCCAUGGGCAGGUUGAAGGUUGGGUAACACUAACUGGAGGACCGAACCGACUAAUGUUGAAAAAUUAGCGGAUGACUUGUGGCUGGGGGUGAAAGGCCAAUCAAACCGGGAGAUAGCUGGUUCUCCCCGAAAGCUAUUUAGGUAGCGCCUCGUGAAUUCAUCUCCGGGGGUAGAGCACUGUUUCGGCAAGGGGGUCAUCCCGACUUACCAACCCGAUGCAAACUGCGAAUACCGGAGAAUGUUAUCACGGGAGACACACGGCGGGUGCUAACGUCCGUCGUGAAGAGGGAAACAACCCAGACCGCCAGCUAAGGUCCCAAAGUCAUGGUUAAGUGGGAAACGAUGUGGGAAGGCCCAGACAGCCAGGAUGUUGGCUUAGAAGCAGCCAUCAUUUAAAGAAAGCGUAAUAGCUCACUGGUCGAGUCGGCCUGCGCGGAAGAUGUAACGGGGCUAAACCAUGCACCGAAGCUGCGGCAGCGACGCUUAUGCGUUGUUGGGUAGGGGAGCGUUCUGUAAGCCUGCGAAGGUGUGCUGUGAGGCAUGCUGGAGGUAUCAGAAGUGCGAAUGCUGACAUAAGUAACGAUAAAGCGGGUGAAAAGCCCGCUCGCCGGAAGACCAAGGGUUCCUGUCCAACGUUAAUCGGGGCAGGGUGAGUCGACCCCUAAGGCGAGGCCGAAAGGCGUAGUCGAUGGGAAACAGGUUAAUAUUCCUGUACUUGGUGUUACUGCGAAGGGGGGACGGAGAAGGCUAUGUUGGCCGGGCGACGGUUGUCCCGGUUUAAGCGUGUAGGCUGGUUUUCCAGGCAAAUCCGGAAAAUCAAGGCUGAGGCGUGAUGACGAGGCACUACGGUGCUGAAGCAACAAAUGCCCUGCUUCCAGGAAAAGCCUCUAAGCAUCAGGUAACAUCAAAUCGUACCCCAAACCGACACAGGUGGUCAGGUAGAGAAUACCAAGGCGCUUGAGAGAACUCGGGUGAAGGAACUAGGCAAAAUGGUGCCGUAACUUCGGGAGAAGGCACGCUGAUAUGUAGGUGAGGUCCCUCGCGGAUGGAGCUGAAAUCAGUCGAAGAUACCAGCUGGCUGCAACUGUUUAUUAAAAACACAGCACUGUGCAAACACGAAAGUGGACGUAUACGGUGUGACGCCUGCCCGGUGCCGGAAGGUUAAUUGAUGGGGUUAGCGCAAGCGAAGCUCUUGAUCGAAGCCCCGGUAAACGGCGGCCGUAACUAUAACGGUCCUAAGGUAGCGAAAUUCCUUGUCGGGUAAGUUCCGACCUGCACGAAUGGCGUAAUGAUGGCCAGGCUGUCUCCACCCGAGACUCAGUGAAAUUGAACUCGCUGUGAAGAUGCAGUGUACCCGCGGCAAGACGGAAAGACCCCGUGAACCUUUACUAUAGCUUGACACUGAACAUUGAGCCUUGAUGUGUAGGAUAGGUGGGAGGCUUGGAAGUGUGGACGCCAGUCUGCAUGGAGCCGACCUUGAAAUACCACCCUUUAAUGUUUGAUGUUCUAACGUUGACCCGUAAUCCGGGUUGCGGACAGUGUCUGGUGGGUAGUUUGACUGGGGCGGUCUCCUCCUAAAGAGUAACGGAGGAGCACGAAGGUUGGCUAAUCCUGGUCGGACAUCAGGAGGUUAGUGCAAUGGCAUAAGCCAGCUUGACUGCGAGCGUGACGGCGCGAGCAGGUGCGAAAGCAGGUCAUAGUGAUCCGGUGGUUCUGAAUGGAAGGGCCAUCGCUCAACGGAUAAAAGGUACUCCGGGGAUAACAGGCUGAUACCGCCCAAGAGUUCAUAUCGACGGCGGUGUUUGGCACCUCGAUGUCGGCUCAUCACAUCCUGGGGCUGAAGUAGGUCCCAAGGGUAUGGCUGUUCGCCAUUUAAAGUGGUACGCGAGCUGGGUUUAGAACGUCGUGAGACAGUUCGGUCCCUAUCUGCCGUGGGCGCUGGAGAACUGAGGGGGGCUGCUCCUAGUACGAGAGGACCGGAGUGGACGCAUCACUGGUGUUCGGGUUGUCAUGCCAAUGGCACUGCCCGGUAGCUAAAUGCGGAAGAGAUAAGUGCUGAAAGCAUCUAAGCACGAAACUUGCCCCGAGAUGAGUUCUCCCUGACCCUUUAAGGGUCCUGAAGGAACGUUGAAGACGACGACGUUGAUAGGCCGGGUGUGUAAGCGCAGCGAUGCGUUGAGCUAACCGGUACUAAUGAACCGUGAGGCUUAACCUU
rnacentral:rRNA from 1 species